CUUAAAAUUAACUUGCACAUAUUCUUUUGUUUUAAAUAGGCUCCAGAUGCUUCUGGUGCCAUCAUUUCAGUUCUCCAAUAGCACAGAUAGUGAAUAUGGUGGUGAUCAAUAAGAAGCAGUUUUUCACAGCAUUACAUGAUGAUUAUGACUGAGUAUGUUGAAUCUGAGUUGCCGACUACAAUAUUGCAGUAACUAAGAGGAGAUGGAAGGCAUAAUUAAAGAGUGCAUGAAGAUGAAUCUAUCUCUAUUUUACUAUUUUUGUGUGAUUUUUUUUCAAAAUAAAAAAAAAAAUGUGUUUGUUCUAGCUCGUUGAAGAUGAAAUACAUUAUAUUAUUUAUAUUAUGUAAUGUGGGAUUAAGAAUGAUGAACAGUCAUGAACUGUCACUAAAUAUUGACUGUAAGUGCUUAUGCCGAAAAAAAAAAAGUGUGCUUGUUUU